UCGGAGUGCUGGGUGAAUAUGAUACAAGUACAAUGUGUGAGAUUCUCAAAGAAUGAAAGUAUGCUAAAAAAUGCCUCUCUACUAAUGGUCACUGUGAGUGCUGGAAAUCCUAGAGACCCAGCAACCUGGCAUUCACCAAGCAAUACUUGCAGCGCAUACAGAGCCUUGGAAGAAGAUGGAUGCAGGGAUAUACACCGUGCUGAACACAGGCCUAGAUGGCAGGAGAUGAAGUAAGACUGCCUCUACAUGGCUGGAAAAUCCCAGGCCUCUGCGUAGAACAUUUUGAAGAAUCCACUCAGCAAUAAUGACCUUCUGAUAAUGAAAAUAAGAGGACUCUGUAACUUCAGACAAAUGGCAACUUUAGAGUUAAGUGCAUUUGGGUGCAAAGUCUGUCUUUCCCAUUUAGAAGCAAGUUUUUCAGUUCUCCAUGAUUUAAUUUUCUUACCUCUGAAAUGAGAUUGGUGUUUAUAAAUAAGACACACACGGGAUUGAUGUAGAGUCAGGUCAACUGUGUACCAAAAAGGCUUCAAAGAAUAGCAGUCAUACAGUCAGCCAACCCCACAAUAAUUCUGAGUGGGGUCUUAUUGUUGGGUGGCCAUAUUAGAGAGAAACGGGCUGUGUACCUGGUUUGCAUGCAUUUCUUUUCC
rnacentral:lncRNA from 1 species